rnacentral:rRNA from 1 species
GACGAACGCUGGCGGCGUGCUUAACACAUGCAAGUCGAACGCUGAAGCUCAGCUUUUGUUGGGUGGAUGAGUGGCGAACGGGUGAGUAACACGUGAGUAACCUGCCCCCUUCUUUGGGAUAACGCCCGGAAACGGGUGCUAAUACUGGAUAUUCACUGGUCUUCGCAUGGGGGGUGGUGGAAAGGGUUGUUCUGGUGGGGGAUGGGCUCGCGGCCUAUCAGCUUGUUGGUGGGGUGAUGGCCUACCAAGGCUUUGACGGGUAGCCGGCCGGAGAGGGUGACCGGUCACAUUGGGACUGAGAUACGGCCCAGACUCCUACGGGAGGCAGCAGUGGGGAAUAAUGCACAAUGGGCGCAAGCCUGAUGCAGCGACGCCGCGUGAGGGAUGGAGGCCUUCGGGUUGUGAACCUCUUUCGCUCAUGGUCAAGCCGCAACAAUGGUUGUGGUGAGGGUAGUGGGUAAAGAAGCGCCGGCUAACUACGUG